ensembl:miRNA
UCUCACGCUGUGGCCCUCCAAAGGGAAGUGCUUUCUGCUGUCUGAAAAAAAAAGAAAGGCCUUCCCUUUAGAGUGUUACAGUUUGAGA